GUGCUGGCUUGGGCAGCACAUGUGCCAACACUGGAGCGACACGGAGAAGGGUCGCAUGGCCCCUCCGCAAGGAUGAGACACAAAUUUGUGAAGCGUUCCAUAUUUUU